rnacentral:rRNA from 1 species
UGGGGAAUCUUGCGCAAUGGCCGAAAGGCUGACGCAGCGACGCCGCGUGUGGGAGGACGCCUUUCGGGGUGUAAACCACUGUUGCCCGGGACGAACAUCCCUUUUCGAGGGGACUGACGGUACCGGGUGAGGAAGCACCGGCUAACUCCGUGCCAGCAGCCGCGGUAAUACGGAGGGUGCGAGCGUUGUCCGGAAUCAUUGGGCGUAAAGGGCGCGUAGGUGGCGGGACAAGCGUGCGGUGAAAGCCUGGGGCUCAACCCCGGGUCGGCCGUGCGAACUGUUUUGCUUGAGCACUGUAGAGGCAGGCGGAAUUCCGGGUGUAGCGGUGGAAUGCGUAGAGAUCCGGAAGAACACCGGUGGCGAAGGCGGCCUGCUGGGCAGUAGCUGACACUGAGGCGCGACAGCGUGGGGAGCAAACAG